ACUGCCUACAGGGAAUUUCGACAAAUCUCUGCACUGAUCACCUAGGUGAUGUAACUCUUGUCUACCCUCUGCCUACAGGGGGCGUUGUGAAAUAUCUCUGCACUGAUCACCCAGGUGAUGCAACUCUUGACUAGGAUCUGCCUACAGGAGGUAUUGUGAAAUAUCUCUGCACUGAUCAACUAGGUGAUGUAACUCUUGUCUAAGCUCUGCCUGCAGGGGCGUUUUCACAUAUCCCUGAACUGAUGACAAAGGUGAUGUAACUCUUGCCUAGGCUUUGCCUACAGGGGACAUUGUGACAUAUCUCUGCACUGAUCACCCAGGUGAUGCAACUCUUCUCUGUGCUCUGCCUACAGGGUACAUUGUGACAUAUCUCUGCACAGAUCACCCAGUAAACUGUUUCACGUUAGACCUGUAACCCAAGGAGAUGUGUAUAGAGCUGAAACUGAAGAAAUUCCUAAAAUAUUCCAGAUACUAUAUGCAAAUGAAGGUGAAUGUAGAAAAGAUGUAGAGAUGGAACCAGUACAAGAAGCUGAAAAAACUAAUUUCCAAAAUCACAAAGGCCAUGAGUUUAUUCCUACACUCUACCACUUUCCUGCCAAUUGUGAUGCCUGUGCCAAACCUCUCUGGCAUGUUUUUAAGCCACCCCCUGCCCUAGAGUGUCAAAGACGCCAUGUUAAGUGCCACAGAGAUCACUUAGAUAAGAAAGAGGACUUAAUUUGUCCAUGUAAAGUAAGUUAUGAUGUAACAUCAGCAAGAGAUAUGCUGCUGUUAGCAUGUUCUCAGGAUGAACAAAAAAAAUGGGUAACUCAUUUAGUAAAGAAAAUCCCUAAGAAUCCACCAUCUGGUUUUGUUCGUGCUUCCCCUUGAACGCUUUCUACAAGAUCCACUGCAAAUCAGUCUUUCCGGAAAGUGGUCAAAAAUACAUCUGGAAAAACUAGUUAACCAUGUGACCGAGUGCCUUGUGGAAUCGUGUGGGAUGCUACCUGAUAAACCAGGCUUCUUUAACCAUGCAGAGCAGACAGGCUGUUUCUUUGACACAAAUAUCACAGGCUUCAGGGUUAAGAUUGCUGUUUUUCUGUCCUUGCUUUGGCACAACACACUGAGGGUUUUUUUUAUCGCGGGUUUGCCUACAGGUAGAUUAGAUUAAUUAUUACUAUGUAAUGCAAGUACAGUUGGGGGAAAGCUUAGGUAGAUAUAUUUUUUUUAAAAGGUGCUGCCUUUUUGGAUUUAUAAGAAAAUGGCUGUCAGUCGUGAUAGAACAGAGUUUUCCUCAUAUGAGUAAGAGGAAGGGACUUUCACUUUCAAGUGGAACGGCCAUCACUAUCAAGAUCAGCUCAUGGAAGGAGUAAAGAAAAUAUCUCAAAAUGAGACAAACUGAAGUUUUGUUUUUUUUUUAAUGACUUAAGUUUUUGUGCUCUUGCAAGACUAUACAAAACUAUUUUAAGAAAGCAGUGAUAUCACUUGAACUUCAGUGCCCUCACUGUAGAAUUUAAAAGCCUUACUGUUGAUUGCCCAUGGUGGACUUGAUGGAGAAAUUAAAUAUCUUUCAUUAUGCUUUACAAAAUACUGUAUAUGUUUCAGCAAGUUUGGGGAAUGGGAGAGGACGAAAAAAAGUUACAUUUAAUCUAUGCAUUUUUGCCAAGCCAUAUUGAGUUAUUUUACUACUAGAGACAUUAGGAAACUAACUGUACAAAAGAACCAAGUUUAAAAGCAUUUUGUGGGGUACAUCAUUUCUAUAAUUGUAUAAUGUAUUUCUUUGUGGUUUUAAAUGAUAAAGACAUUAAGUUAACAAACAUAUAAGAAAUGUAUGCACUGUUUGAAAUGUAAAUUAUUCUUAGAACACUUUCAAUGGGGGUUGCAUUGUCCUUUUAGUGCCUUAAUUUGAGAUAAUUAUUUUACUGCCAUGAGUAAGUAUAGAAAUUUCAAAAAAUGUAUUUUCAAAAAAUUAUGUGUGUCCGUGAGUUUUUCAUUGAUAAUUGGUUUAAUUUAAAAUAUUUAGAGGUUUGUUGGACUUUCAUAAAUUGAGUACAAUCUUUGCAUCAAACUACCUGCUACAAUAAUGACUUUAUAAAACUGCAAAAAAUGUAGAAGGUUGCACCAAUAUAAAAAGGAAAUAUGGCAAUACAUCCAUGAUGUUUUCCAGUUAACAUAGGAAUUACCAGAUAAAUACUGUUAAACUCUUGUCCGGUAACAAGAGUUGAUUCAUAUGGACAGUAUGAUUUAUUGUUUCUUUUUUUAACCAAAUACCUCCUCAGUAAUUUAUAAUGGCUUUGCAGUAAUGUCUAUCAGAUAAGAAGCACUGGAAAACCGAUCGUCUCUAGGAUGAUAUGCAUGUUUCAAGUGGUAUUGAAAGCCGCACUGAUGAAUAUGUAAUAAUAAACAUAUCUGUUAUUAAUAUAGUAAUGACUGUGCUCAUUUAAUGAGAAAUAAAAGUAAUUUAUGGAUGGAUAUCUUUAAUUU
rnacentral:lncRNA from 1 species